GAUCAUGGCUCAGAACGAACGCUGGCGGCAUGCCUAACACAUGCAAGUCGAACGAAGCCUUCGGGCUUAGUGGCGCACGGGUGCGUAACGCGUGGGAAUCUGCCCCUCGGUUCGGAAUAACAGUUAGAAAUGACUGCUAAUACCGGAUGAUGACGAAAGUCCAAAGAUUUAUCGCCGAGGGAUGAGCCCGCGUAGGAUUAGCUUGUUGGUGGGGUAAUGGCCCACCAAGGCGACGAUCCUUAGCUGGUCUGAGAGGAUGAUCAGCCACACUGGGACUGAGACACGGCCCAGACUCCUACGGGAGGCAGCAGUGGGGAAUAUUGGACAAUAGGCGAAAGCCUGAUCCAGCAAUGCCGCGUGAGUGAUGAAGGCCUUAGGGUUGUAAAGCUCUUUUACCAGGGAUGAUAAUGACAGUACCUGGAGAAUAAGCUCCGGCUAACUCCGUG
rnacentral:rRNA from 1 species